rnacentral:rRNA from 1 species
GACGAACGCUGGCGGCGUGCUUAACACAUGCAAGUCGAACGGUGAAGCGCCUUCCUUUUUGGUGGGUGUGGAUGCGUGGCGAACGGGUGAGUAACACGUGCGUAACCUGCCCCCUUCUUCUGGAUAACCGCAUGAAAGUGUGGCCAAUACGGGAUAUUCUGGGUCUUUCGCAUGAUGGGUCUGGUAAGGAUAUUGUUGCGGGGCGGGAUGGGCUCGCGGCCUAUCAGCUUGUGGGUGUGGUGAUGGCCUUCCAGGGCGGUUGGGGUUAGCAGGCCUGGGAGGGUGGACGGUCUCACUGGGACAGCGACACGGCCCAGACUCCGACACGAGACAGCAUUGGGGGGUAUGGCACACUGGGCGCAAGCGUGAUACAGCGACACCGCGGGUGGGGUGGAGGCGUUCGGGGUGUGAACCUCUUUCGCCAGUGAAGCAGGCCUGCCUGGUUUGUGGGUUGGUUGACGGUAGUUGGAUAAGAAGCGCCGGCUAACUACGUG